rnacentral:rRNA from 1 species
UACGGGGGGGGCAAGCGUUGUUCGGAAUUACUGGGCGUAAAGGGCCAGUAGGCGGCCAACUAAGUCGGAUGUGAAAUCCCCAGGCUUAACCUGGGAACUGCAUCCGAUACUGGAUGGCUUGAAUUCGGGAGAGGGAUGCAGAAUUCCAAGGUGUAGCGGUGAAAUGCGUAGAUAUCUGGAGGAAUACCGGUGGCGAAGGCGGCAUCCUGGACCGACAUUGACGCUGAACGGCGAAAGCUAGGGGAGCAAACGGG